GGGUGACAAAGUGAGACUCUAAGAAAAAAAAAUUAGUAAUUAAUCCCAAACAGCUACAGAUUUCUUUGUUCCUUCUCCAUUCCCACUGCUCCACUUUGACUAAGCUUUA
rnacentral:sRNA from 1 species